GCUGGGAUAGCCCAUUGAGUAGAGCAUGAGAUUCUUAAUCUCAGGGUCGGGUCCAAGCCCCACUUUGGGCA